rnacentral:rRNA from 1 species
AUGAAGCUGGAAUCGCUAGUAAUCGCAGAUCAGAAUGCUGCGGUGAAUACGUUCCCGGGUCUUGUACACACCGCCCGUCACACCAUGGGAGGUCGGAAAUGCCCGAAGCCGGUGACCAAACCAAUAAGGAAGGAGCCGUCGAAGGCAGGUCUGAUAACUGGGGUGAAGUCGUAACAAGGUAGC